UGAUGGUGGUGAGGGCAAUUUAUAAGCAUACCUCUAAAUCUUUCCUAAGUUUGGUAAAGAAUUUCUCUUUUUUUCUGCCUGAAACUUAGAAUAUCGCUUCUCAAAUA
rfam:Capsicum annuum cultivar Zunla-1 chromosome 10, whole genome shotgun sequence